rnacentral:rRNA from 1 species
GUGAGGAAUAUUGGUCAAUGGACGAGAGUCUGAACCAGCCAAGUCGCGUGAAGGAAGACGGUUCUAUGAAUUGUAAACUUCUUUUGUGCAGGAAUAAAGUGGGUUACGUGUAACCUUUUGUAUGUACUGUACGAAUAAGGAUCGGCUAACUCCGUGCCAGCAGCCGCGGUAAUACGGAGGAUCCGAGCGUUAUCCGGAUUUAUUGGGUUUAAAGGGUGCGUAGGUGGAUUGAUAAGUCAGCGGUGAAAGUUUGCAGCUUAACUGUAAAAUUGCCGUUGAAACUGUCGGUCUUGAGUGCAAAUGAGGGAGGCGGAAUGUGUUGUGUAGCGGUGAAAUGCUUAGAUAUAACACAGAACUCCGAUUGCGAAGGCAGCUUACUGGGAUGCAACUGACACUGAUGCACGAAAGCGUGGGUAUCAAACAGGAUUAGAAACCCUAGUAGUCC